GGGCGUGUAGAUCAGACUGGAAGAUCGCUGCCUUCGCAAGGCAGAGGCCGCGGGUUCAAAUCCCGCCACGUCCA
rnacentral:tRNA from 1 species